rnacentral:tRNA from 1 species
GGUCUGGUGGUGUAGUUGGUUAUCACGUCAGUCUAACAUUCCGAGGCGCCUCGGUCUGAGCACACUGAAGGUCUCCGGUUCAAGUCCGGGCUAGAUCA